rnacentral:rRNA from 1 species
GUCUACAGCCAUGCCACCCCGAACAAGCCCGAUCUCAUUUGAUCUCGGAAGCUAAGCAGGGUCGGGCCUGGUUAAUACUUGGAUGGGAGACGACCUUGGAAUACCAGGUGCUGUAGGCA